rnacentral:rRNA from 1 species
UACGGAGGAUGGAAGCGUUAUCCGGAAUUAUUGGGCGUAAAGCGUCCGUAGGUGGUUGAGUAAGUCUGCUGUUAAAGCGUGGAGCUUAACUCCAUAUCGGCAGUGGAAACUACUUAACUUGAGUGCGGUAGGGGUCAGGGGAAUUCCCAGUGUAGCGGUGAAAUGCGUAGAUAUUGGGAAGAACACCGGUGGCGAAAGCGCCUGACUGGGCCUGCACUGACACUGAGGGACGAAAGCUAGGGGAGCGAAAGGG